AACGAACGCUGGCGGCAUGCCUAACACAUGCAAGUCGAACGAGACCUUCGGGUCUAGUGGCGCAAGGGUGCGUAACGCGUGGGAACCUGCCCUUAGGUCCGGAAUAACUCCCCGAAAGGGGUGCUAAUACCGGAUAAUGUCUUCGGACCAAAGAUUUAUCGCCUUUGGAUGGGCCCGCGUUGGAUUAGCUAGUUGGUAGGGUAAAAGCCUACCAAGGCGACGAUCCAUAGCUGGUCUGAGAGGAUGAUCAGCCACACUGGGACUGAGACACGGCCCAGACUCCUACGGGAGGCAGCAGUGGGGAAUAUUGGACAAUGGGCGAAAGGCUGAUCCAGCAAUGCCGCGUGAGUGAUGAAGGCCUUAGGGUUGUAAAGCUCUUUUACCCGGGAUGAUAAUGACAGUACCGGGAGAAUAAGCUCCGGCUAACUCCGUG
rnacentral:rRNA from 1 species